GACGAACCGUGCGAACGUUGUUCGGAAUCACUGGGCUUAAAGGGCGCGUAGGCGGGCUGUCCAGUCUGGGGUGAAAUCCCGCGGCUCAACCGUGGAACUGCCUUAGAUACUGACGGCCUCGAGGGAGAUAGGGGCAUGCGGAACUGUAGGUGGAGCGGUGAAAUGCGUUGAUAUCUACAGGAACUCCGGUGGCGAAGGCGGCGUGCUGGAUCUCUUCUGACGCUGAGGCGCGAAAGCUAGGGGAGCAAACGGG
rnacentral:rRNA from 1 species